AGCGGAGGAAAAGAAACUAACAAGGAUGCGCUUAGUAACGGCGARCKAACCGCGCMAAAGCCCAWCUUGAAAAUCUCCCUUGGAGAAUUGUAGUCUAUAGAAGUACCCUCUGUAACGGGCKCAGCUCAAGUCUCCWGGAAAGGGGCGUCAGAGAGGGUGAGAACCCCRUAAGCUGUUGCUUSGUUGCCUCMCGAGGUGCUUUCAAAGAGUCSGGUUGCUUGGGAAUGCAGCCCAAAUUUGGUGGUAAAUCCCAUYUAAGGCUAAAUAUUGGCGAGAGACCGAUAGCGAACAAGUWCCGUGAGGGAAAGAUGAAAAGAACUUUGAAAAGAGAGUUAAAAAGUGCUUGAAAUUGUUGAGGGGGAAGCGUUUGAAUGSUAGASUGCGCCUAGGCUUAUGGGUUCUUAACGGAGCYCUGUAMGUGCUAGGURCUGSCCASCAUGGGUUWGGCGAGCGGGAUAAACGCUGGGGKUGAUACCCGGUCUAUGSCGCUUGCUUGACCAAGGCGUGAAGACUGCCCUUGUCCUUCGGRAACUGCAGUCUCARGAUGCUGGCAAAAAGCUUUCAACCGACCCGUCUUGAAACACGGMCCAAGGAGUCUAACAUGUAUGCGAGUUGGUGGGUGGAAAACCCAUGAAGCGUAAGGAAACUGACUGGUGAGAUGGCCUGUGCCUGCAUCAUCGACCGACCAUGCGUUUCUGCAAAAGGUUUGAGUGCGAGCAUACCUGUUGGGACCCGAAAGAUGGUGAACUAUGCCUGAGUAGGGUGAAGCCAGGUGAAAAUCCUGGUGGAGGCUCGUAGCAUGUGCUGACGUGCAAAUCGCUUUUCGGACUUGGGUAUAGGGGCGAAAGACUAAUCGAACCUUCUAGUA
rnacentral:rRNA from 1 species